rnacentral:rRNA from 1 species
GAUGAACGCUGGCGGCGUGCUUAACACAUGCAAGUCGAACGGAAAGGCCAGUGCUUGCACUGGUACUCGAGUGGCGAACGGGUGAGUAACACGUGGGUGAUCUGCCCUGCACUUCGGGAUAAGCCUGGGAAACUGGGUCUAAUACCGGAUAGGACAAUGGUUUGGAUGCCGUUGAGGACAGUUUUUUCGGUGUGGGAUGAGCUCGCGGCCUAUCAGCUUGUUGGUGGGGUAAUGGCCUACCAAGGCGUCGACGGGUAGCCGGCCUGAGAGGGUGUACGGCCACAUGGGGACUGAGAUACGGACCAGACUCCUACGGGAGGCAGCAGUGGGGAAUAUUGCACAAUGGGCGCAAGCCUGAUGCAGCGACGCCGCGUGGGGGAUGACGGCCUUCGGGUUGUAAACGCCUUUCGCUAGGGACGAAGCGUAUUUGUGACGGUACCUGGAGAAGAAGCACCGGCUAACUACGUG